CACAAUGCAAUCUGAAGGAAGUACACCCACUCCCUGAUGUUUUCCUUGGGAGCCAGAAAUGUGUGUGCAGCGGUUUUUUUUGGGGCAGUGGAGCCUGUGCCUGGUGCCUCCCAGGUGUGUGGACAGGGCUGCAGUUUUCAGACAGUCACUGCCUGGGUGAGUGGAGCAAAUGCUGAAGCAUUGAGAGUAAACCACUCCUGUAGAGCAGCAGAACCUGCCCAGAAGGAUGUUUCAUAGUGCAGCAAUUAACUGAUACACCAGGCUAUCAGGUGCCAAGGGGCUCUUUCCAUGGAGGAGGACAUCUGAAUCCAGGACAUUUAUUUUGCAUCUGAGGAGGUGCAGUGAUAACCAGAGAAAGGACUUUCCUACCCACUAAAUUUUGCUGCACAAAAAAGCUCAGAAUCCCACAAAACUGGUUAUCAGUCCUGUGUUAUUUGUUGAAAAAGAGGGAUAAAAGCACCCAGUGCUGUAAGAAAAUCAACUCAAGCAGGCAAAGACCCAAACUGUGAUUCCAGUAUAAUUUCUUGUGUUGAAUAAAACCUUGUGGGUCAGACUUCA
rnacentral:lncRNA from 1 species